rnacentral:misc_RNA from 1 species
ACAUUGUUAAGUCCAGAAAAAGGAAAGAAAAUGGAGACAAGACUCAACAAAAAACAAAAGGAAACAGAAGAACGUUAUAGUGAGGAAGGAAUAGAAAAUGUAGACGAAGAAAUUAGUAUUACAGAAACAACAAUCAAGGAGAGUACCACAGAAAUGUCAACAAUGGAUAGGAUAUUACAAAUGCUACAAAGACAGGAAGAAAACAGUAAAAAACAAGCAGAAAGAAUAGAAAAACUUAUAGACGAAAACAGUAAACGACAAGAUCUAGGUUUUAAACAAAUGGAGCAGAGACUAGAACAGCAUAAAGAGGAGGUACAAAUGUAUUUACAGCAGAUUAAACAUGAAGUAGAGCAGAAAACAAAGGAAAUUAGCCAAAAUUUAGAAAAACUUACCAAGAAACUACAUAAUUUGGAGAAACAUGUAGAAGGUAGAGAAGAGGAAAUAGAGGAUAGAUUUAAAAAAAUGGAUAAGAAACUAUUGGAAGUAAAAACACAACAUAAUACUGGAGAAAGAAGGCAACUAAUUAUACACAAUGGAGCAGAAAAUAAGGUCCAAUUUGGCGGGGAUAUAAAGAAACAGCACCCAGUCCCAUUUAUUAGGAUGCUUAAAAAUAGAAAACAAGGAUAUGAAGAGUUUGAAGAUGCUAAGGAUAUGAUAAGGAAUCAUUUUAAGGAUGGAGCAGCAUUAUGGUUCGAGAGUAAGCAAAAUGAGUUACAAGAUUGGGAAGAAUUUGAAAGAAAAUUUUUGAGAUAUUAUUGGGGAAAAGAGAAACAAAUGGUCGUGAAUAGUGAACUACAAAAUGGGAAAUAUGAUGAAAAACUAGGAAUGUCCGAAGAGAAAUAUGCAUUACAAGUAUACGCUAGUGGGCAAUAUUUAAAUUAUAAUUAUUCGGAAGAACAGCUAGUUGAAUUGAUAGCAAGACAUUUUGACAAUACAAUGGAAGACUAUGUCACCUUGCAAGGAUAUAGGGACAUGGACAGUUUAUGCCAGUUCUUAGUUGUAAGAGAGGCUCGAAGAAAAGAAAGAAGGACACGUAGGCAAACGGAAAACAAUGGGAGAAACCAAACAAACCGAACACACAACUACAGACCGUCUGGUAAUGAAAAUACAUACCGAUACAAUGGAUAUAGGGAUAACGAAGGACAAAGAUAUACAAACAAUUUUCAUAAAAAUAGAUAUGAGCAGAAUAGAAAUGGAUAUCAGCAAAAUAGAUUUCAAAACAAUGGGAGAAAUUAUAACAGUCAACCAUGUCAGCCAAAUACAGGAAGGGAAAAUUUUAACAGAGGAAACCAAUAUAACAACCACAAUGGACAAGGAAGAGAACAAAACAGAGAAAUAAACAACCUAAGUUUAAUCAGAGAAGGAGAAGAUGAACAAGGACACCAAGAAAUAGACAAUGUGGAAGUAGAAAGCAAUAGAGCAGGGCCGUCUUUUCGGGAGAGCACUCACUAAAAACAGGGAUAAGAUCAAAUUCAGGAAUAUAUACUCACCCUAGGGAAUUUAUCACUUUAGCGAAAAAAAAGGUUGAAUACGGGCGCAAUAAUUUGGUUACGGUACAGGGGUAUAUUAAAAAUAAAAAGUUGGAUAUCCUUUUGGACAAUGGUUCAGUGGUAUCAUUAGUUAAUAAACAAUUGAUAAAGGAUUUAGGACUAAAUACUCAAAAGUAUAAUAUUUCUCGAAUAAUGUUAGUGAGUGCUAAUUCAAAAAAGAUUUCGACUACGAAUGAGGCUAUUGGUUUGACAUUGAGAUUUAAAAAUAGAGAAUAUUUGAUAAAUUGUUUUAUAAUUGAGGACAUGGAAUGUCCUUAUAUUGUCAUUGGAAUGGAUGAAUUGGAUAAGUAUGGAACGGAAAUUAAUUUUGAAAACAACUAUAUAAAAUUUGGAGAGGACAUACUGGAAGAAGGUUUAAA